GCGGGUGUGGCGGAAUGGUAGACGCAGAGGAUUCAAAAUCCUCCGCCGCAAGGCGUGGGAGUUCGAGUCUCCCCACCCGCA
rnacentral:tRNA from 1 species